GAUGAACGCUGGCGGCGUGCCUAAUACAUGCAAGUCGAGCGGACAGACGAUGAUCUUGCUCCGUUGACGUGAGCGGCGGACGUGUGAAUAACACGUGUAUACCCUACCUAUAAUACGGGUAUAACUUCGGAAAACCGGAUCUAAUACCGUAGAAUAUAUUGAACCGCGUUGGGCGAUGGUGAAAUACGGUUGUUCUGUCACUUAUAGAUGGAUCUGCGCCGCAUUAGAUAGUUGGUAAGGUAACGGGUUACCAAGGCAACGAUGCGUAGACGAACUGAGAGAGUGAUAGGCCACCCGGGAACUGAGACACGGUCCAGACUACUACGGGACGCAGCAGAAGGGAACGGUCCGCAAUGGGCGAAAGCAUGACGGAGCAACGCGGAGUGAGAGAUGAAGGUCUUGGGAUCGUAAAACUCUGUUAUUAGGGAAGAACAAAUGUGUACGUAAAUAUGCCCGUAUUGACGGUAACUAAUAAGAAAGCCACGGCUAACUACGUG
rnacentral:rRNA from 1 species